rnacentral:rRNA from 1 species
AGUGAACGCUGGCGGCAGGCCUAAUACAUGCAAGUCGAACGGCAGCACAGCAGAGCUUGCUCUGUGGGUGGCGAGUGGCGGACGGGUGAGGAAUACAUGGGAAUCUGCCCAGUCGUGGGGGAUAACGUAUGGAAACGUACGCUAAUACCGCAUGCGCCCUACGGGGGAAAGUCGGGGACCGCAAGGCCUGACGCGAUUGGAUGAGCCCAUGUUCGAUUAGCUAGUUGGCGGGGUAAAGGCCCACCAAGGCGACGAUCGAUAGCUGGUCUGAGAGGAUGAUCAGCCACACUGGAACUGAGACACGGUCCAGACUCCUACGGGAGGCAGCAGUAGGGAAUAUUGGACAAUGGGGGCAACCCUGAUCCAGCCAUGCCGCGUGAGUGAAGAAGGCCCUCGGGUUGUAAAGCUCUUUUGUCCGGAAAGAAAGCAUUCGGUUAAUACCCGGGUGUUCUGACGGUACCGGAAGAAUAAGCACCGGCUAACUUCGUGCCAGC